GGACGGGAGCGAAACACCCGUAAGGACUCAUGAUCCGUCGGCCGUGGGUUCGAGUCCCACCCGCCCCA
rnacentral:tRNA from 1 species